rnacentral:rRNA from 1 species
CCUACGGGUGGCAGCAGUGAGGAAUAUUGGUCAAUGGACGAGAGUCUGAACCAGCCAAGUAGCGUGAAGGAUGACUGCCCUAUGGGUUGUAAACUUCUUUUAUAAAGGAAUAAAACGAGGCACGUGUGCCCUUUUGCAUGUACUUUAUGAAUAAGGAUCGGCUAACUACGUGCCAGCAGCCGCGGUAAUACGGAGGAUCCGAGCGUUAUCCGGAUUUAUUGGGUUUAAAGGGAGCGUAGGUGGGUUGUUAAGUCAGUUGUGAAAGUUUGCGGCUCAACCGUAAAAUUGCAAUUGAUACUGGCAGUCUUGAGUACAGUUGAGGUAGGCGGAAUUCGUGGUGUAGCGGUGAAAUGCUUAGAUAUCACGAAGAACCCCGAUGGCGAAGGCAGUUUACUAAACUGUGACUGACAUUGAUGCUCGAAAGUGUGGGUAUCAAACAGGAUUAGAUACCCGAGUAGUC